AUUGAACGCUGGCGGCAGGCCUAACACAUGCAAGUCGAGCGGAUGAGUGGAGCUUGCUCCAUGAUUCAGCGGCGGACGGGUGAGUAAUGCCUAGGAAUCUGCCUGGCAGUGGGGGACAACGUUUCGAAAGGAACGCUAAUACCGCAUACGUCCUACGGGAGAAAGUGGGGGAUCUUCGGACCUCACGCUAUCAGAUGAGCCUAGGUCGGAUUAGCUAGUUGGUGAGGUAAAGGCUCACCAAGGCGACGAUCCGUAACUGGUCUGAGAGGAUGAUCAGUCAACCUGGAACUGAGACACGGUCCAGACUCCUACGGGAGGCAGCAGUGGGGAAUAUUGGACAAUGGGCGAAAGCCUGAUCCAGCCAUGCCGCGUGUGUGAAGAAGGUCUUCGGAUUGUAAAGCACUUUAAGUUGGGAGGAAGGGCAGUAAGUUAAUACCUUGCUGUUUUGACGUUACCAACAGAAUAAGCACCGGCUAACUUCGUGCCAGCCGCCGCCGUAAGAC
rnacentral:rRNA from 1 species